UUCAAGUAAUCCAGGAUAGGCU
rnacentral:ncRNA from 69 species